AGAAACUCACUGGUGUCAUGCUGGAGGUCAUCGCUGAGGAAUACGCCAACGACUUCACCCCGGAGGCGCACAGUGCCUGGACCAAGAUGAGGACCCUCAUCUACACCCACGUGACGGCGGCGUACAAGGAGGACCCCCCCGGCGGAGGCAGCAGCACCGAAGGCACCGGGGUGCUCCCGGACACCUGAACCCCGGCACCGAGCCCGAGAGAGAGGAGCCCCCCUCGCCUUCCCCCCACUGCUGGGUCCCUGCACAUUCGCCUGGGACCUCGGGGGCAACCGCCACCCCCCCACACUGACAAGCACCCGCUCCCCUCCCUUUUGGGGAAUAAACCAGCAAAAAAGCACAUUCCCAUUGCUCGGCGUGUUGAACACGACGAGGUCACCCGAACUGAACAGCUUUGCUGCUGGGAGGGUUCCCGUCCCCACACAGCCAGGACAGCCUGCUUAUUACAAAUCCUUUUUUUGUUUUUUAUGGGACACCUACUGCUGUUUCCUACAAACCCUCUUUAUUCAUUGACAAGUACGUUUGCUUUAAAGGAAAGCUUUAGAAAACCACCCCGCAGACGCUGUUCUUCAUGUUUGAUCAGUUUUGAGACUGAUGUUCCAAAUAGCUCCUGAAAUAAAAUCAUCAUCGGGCUCUGCCA